rnacentral:rRNA from 1 species
GACGUAGGGUGCGAGCGUUGUCCGGAUUUAUUGGGCGUAAAGAGCUCGUAGGCGGCUCGUCGCGUCAGCUGUGAAAACCCGCAGCUUAACUGUGGGCUUGCAGCUGAUACGGGCGGGCUAGAGUUCGGUAGGGGAGAUCGGAAUUCCUGGUGUAGCGGUGAAAUGCGCAGAUAUCAGGAGGAACACCAGUGGCGAAGGCGGCUCACUGGCCCGAUACUGACGCUGAGGCACGAAAGCGUGGGGAGCAAACAGG